rnacentral:rRNA from 1 species
CGUAAACGAUGAGUGCUAAGUGUUAGAGGGUUUCCGCCCUUUAGUGCUGAAGUUAACGCAUUAAGCACUCCGCCUGGGGAGUACGGCCGCAAGGCUGAAACUCAAAGGAAUUGACGGGGGCCCGCACAAGCGGUGGAGCAUGUGGUUUAAUUCGAAGCAACGCGAAGAACCUUACCAGGUCUUGACAUCCUCUGACAACCCUAGAGAUAGGGCUUCUCCUUCGGGAGCAGAGUGACAGGUGGUGCAUGGUUGUCGUCAGCUCGUGUCGUGAGAUGUUGGGUUAAGUCCCGCAACGAGCGCAACCCUUGAUCUUAGUUGCCAUCAUUUAGUUGGGCACUCUAAGGUGACUGCCGGUGACAAACCGGAGGAAGGUGGGGAUGACGUCAAAUCAUCAUGCCCCUUAUGACCUGGGCUACACACGUGCUACAAUGGACGGUACAAAGAGCUGCAAGACCGCGAGGUGGAGCUAAUCUCAU